UUAUUGGGAAGGGGCACAGUCUGAAAAUCCACUUGUGUUAUCUGGAAUUAUUUUCUAUAUUCCACAAGGGAAAAAGGAGUAACUUUCCUACAAAUAGUGCCCUGGAAUGAUCUCAGUUGUUUCUUCACUGAAGUAUCUUGCUUUAUUCUGACAUCACUGUUGAACUAGUAUAUGAAGCAGGGUGAAAAACUUGGUACUUACAAUGUACUUCACCAGAAUGAAACAGAGGUCAACAAUAUUCCUACAUUUUUGCAAAUCUGCCCUGUAAACAGAAUCAAGAUCAGCUUUGUUUUUUAUCUAUUCCCUUGAACAUUCAAAAUUAACUAUGACUGUCAAUGGGGCUUAGUACCACCAAUAGCUUCAGACAAGCUACAGGGGAGAGAUAAGACUCACAGCCUGAGCAGAGAACUCUAUUGUCUUGGGUCUUUCCAGGCAUCCUACUGGAGAACCCCACUGCUGCCUUCUGUCAUCCCAAUCAAUAGUGUGAAAAACAGAGCUGUUCGCCAACAAAAGCCCAAAGAAGCCCGUAUCACCAGGGAAGCAGCUUCCUGUGGAUGAGACACUUGCUAGAAUGUGUGGCCCUGGAGUUGCAAGUUCACAGCUACCUGGUGAGCUGUGAAAAGUAGAACCUAAGUUCCCAUCUUAGCAGGAUGAGGCUUCUCAUGUGUUACACAGAAAGGAAACUAAGACAGGGGUCCAAAGAAGUCUUCAGGCACAACGAAGGCUAAUUUUGUGGAAAUAGUUACUGGCAGGCCACCAUCUCUACUGAGGACAGAACAAGAGGAAUGAGGUUCAUGCUGUGACAGCAGGGAUUAAGAAAGAAGUGUUAUUAAAUGAAUCCAGUAGAUCCUGAGACAUUUUUCAGACCCUGUUUUUAAGUGCUGGAUCUGAGUGCCAGAUAUUGAAGACUGGACUCUACUCUGCCUUUCCAGGGUAUAUCCCAUGCAGUAAGACACCAGAGGGAUGCACAAGGCCUGUCACCCAGCCCUAGCCCCUUGUUUCGUAUACUAUUUGAACUCAGUGCACAUGCACAUGGUAAAGUAAGUGACCCCAAAUUUGCCCUACCACAUUAGGAUCGGGUGGGAUAUUAGGAUCAUUUCCAGAACUAUCAGUUAUGCUUUGGUACUACUUACCAGAGAGCCCUUCAUUGAGAGAGUGGGGCAGGAAAGA